rnacentral:lncRNA from 1 species
GUCUGACCAUGAGGAAGAAAUAAAUGACUCCUUAUGCAAUAUCCGUGACAUAGCUGCUUGUGAGAAGUAUGGGGCUAUGGUUGAGACACGGAGCCUUGGCCUUCAGGCCUCUCAGUCUUGAGGAAUGACUGCAAACACAACCUACAUCUCGAGUCAUUUACUACGUGAGUUGGAAGGGGUGAUGACCGUGGUUCAGGGAGUUGAAUUAAAGGCUGGGAAUUCCGUCUGAGAAGCCUCUUUUCUUCAGACUUCUAUUGACUGACUCUUUGCUCUUAAAGAUGCUCAAGUUGAGACUUAAAGGUUUCAGGUGUUGUCACACCUGCCACGUAAUAAAUUAUUUCUCUGCUGUUGAAAUGAGUCAGUUCAAGCUAGAUUGGAAUAUAUAUAUAUAUAGGCAGGUUUAUUAGGAAGCAGAUCUUGGGGUGGAUUCACUGAGGCCAGAGAAGUCACGGUUGGGGUUGGGGGAGGCAGAGGGGAGUGGUAAGAAA